GACGAACGCUGGCGGCGGGCCUAAUACAUGCAAGUCGAGCGAAGCGGCGGAUGGGUGAGUUACGCGUGGGUAAGGUGCCCUUAAGUCUGGGAUACAAUUUGGAAACAGAUGCUAAUACCGGAUACCAAAUGAUGGUCUUGCGAUGAGUUAGCUAGUUGGUAAGGUAAAGGCUUACAAAGGCGAUGUUGCAUAGUCGGGUUGAGAGACUGAGCAGCCACAUUGUGACUGGGACCCGGCCCAAACUCCUACGGUGGGCAGCAGGAGGUGAGCUUCCACAAUGGACGAAAGUCUUAUGGAGCAACGCCGCGUGGGUGAAUAAGGUUUUCGGAUCGUAAAGCUCUGUUGUUGGGGAAGCGGUAAUCAACCAGAAAGUCACGGCUAACUCCGUGCCAGCAGCCGCGGUAAUAC
rnacentral:rRNA from 1 species